rnacentral:rRNA from 1 species
GCAUUCACUUUAAAUAGGGCACCGUCUAAAUCCGUUGAGACGACACCGUAUGAAUUAUGGUUUGGGAAGAAACCUAAGCUGUCGUUUCUAAAAGUUUGGGGAUGCGAUGCUUAUGUCAAGAAACUUCAACCUGAAAAGCUCGAACCCAAGUCGGAAAAAUGCGUCUUCAUAGGAUACCCUAAGGAAACCAUUGGGUAUACCUUCUACCUCAGAUCCGAAGGCAAGAUCUUUGUUGCCAAGAACGGGUCCUUUCUGGAGAAAGAGUUUCUCUCGAAAGAAGUAAGUGGGAGGAAAGUGGAACUUCAUGAAGUACUACCUCUUGAACCGGAAAGUAGCGCAGCUCAGGAAGAUGUUCCUGUGGUGCCUGCACUGACUAGAGAGGAAGCAAAU